CCCUUAGAUGUUCUGGGACGCACGCGUGCUACACUGAGUGGAUCAGCGGGUCAGGUUGCGCGAAAGUGUUUCCUAAUCUUGAAAUCCGCUCGUGAUGGGGAUUGACGGUUGCAAUUUUCCGUCAUGAACGAGGAAUACCUUGUAAGCGCGGGUCAUCAUCCCGCGCUGAAUACGUCCCUGCCCUUUGUACACACCGCCCGUCGCUCCUACCGAUUGAGUGGUCCGGUGAGGCUUUGGGAUCUGAGCAAAGAGAGCGUUUCGCUCGUUUUGCCCGGAAAACUCAGUCGAACCUUAUCAUUUAGAGGAAGGAGAAGUCGUAACA
rnacentral:rRNA from 1 species